GAAUUUUGGACAAUGGGGGCAACCCUGAUCCUGCCAUGCCGCGUGCGGGGAGAAGGCCUUCGGGUUGUAAACCGCUUUUGUCAGGGAAGAAAUCCUCUGGGCUAAUACCCCGGGGGGCUGACGGUACCUGAAGAAUAAGCACCGGCUAACUACGUGCCAGCAGCCGCGGUAAUACGUAGGGUGCGAGCGUUAAUCGGAAUUACUGGGCGUAAAGCGUGCGCAGGCGGUUGUGAAAGACAGAUGUGAAAUCCCCGGGCUUAACCUGGGAACGGCAUUUGUGACUGCACGGCUAGAGUGCGGCAGAGGGGAGUGGAAUUCCGCGUGUAGCAGUGAAAUGCGUAGAUAUGCGGAGGAACACCGAUGGCGAAGGCAGCUCCCUGGGCCUGCACUGACGCUCAUGCACGAAAGCGUGGGGAGCAAACAG
rnacentral:rRNA from 1 species